GUGGGUUACCUCAUGCAGGUCGAGCGCGCCCCCGCGGCGCGCGUCACGCAUCAGACCUCUAAUCGGGAAAGACUACCCGCUGAGUUUAA
rnacentral:rRNA from 1 species